GGUUUGAUUAUGGCUCAGAUUGAACGCUGGCGGGAUGCUUACAUGCAAGCCGAACGGCAGUGCAUAUUUCGGUCUAUGGCGAGUGCGGCGAACGGUGAGCAAUGCACGGAAUCAAAGCCGGUGAAGUGGGGACAACUACGCGAAAGGGGAAGUAUUACCGCAUACGCCCUUCGGGAAAGCGGGGACCUUCGGGCUCUCGUAGACCUAUUAGGAGCGGCCGAUAUCGGAUUAGCUAGUUGGUGGGGUAACGGCUCACUACAGACGAUCCGUAGCUGGUUUGAGAGGAUGACCAGCCACACUGACUGAGACACGGCCCAGAUCUACGGGAGGCAGCAGUGGGGAAUUUUGGACAAUGGGGAAACCCCGAUCCAGCCAUCCCGCGUGCGCGAUGAAGGCCUGGUUGUGUAAGCACUUGGCAGGAGAAACGGCACGGAUAAUACUUGCGUAACUGACGGUACUCGCAGAAUGGGGCACCGGCUAAUCUGCUGUGCCAGCAGAGCGUGGUAAUACUGUAGGUGUAAGCGUUGACCGGAAUUACUGGGCGUAAAGCGCGCAGGCGGUUCGGAAAGAAAGAUGUGAAAUCCCAGAGCUUAACUUUGGAACUGCAUUUUUAACUACCGAGCCAGAGUGUGUCAGAGGAGGUGAAUUCCGCGUGUAGCAGUGGAAUGGGCGUAGAUAUGCGGAGGAACACGAUGGCGUAUGGGUGGUUUUCCUGGGAUAACACCGACGUUUGCGGCACGAAAGCGGGGAGCAACAGGAUAGAUACCUCCUGGUAGUCCACGCCCAACGAUGUCAACUAGUUGCUGGGGCCUUCGGGCCUUUGGCAGCGCAGCUUAACGGGCAGUGAAGUUGACCGCCUGGGGAGUACGGUCGCAAGAUUAAAACUCAAAGGAAUUGACGGGGACUCCGCACAAGCGGUGGAUGAUGUGGAUUAAUUCGAUGCAACGCGAAAAACCUUACCUACUCCUGACAUGUCUGGAAUCCUGAAGAGAUUGGGAGUGCUCGCAAGAGAACCGGAACACAGGUGCUGCAUGGCUGUCGUCAGCUCGUGUCGUGAGAUGUUGGGUUAAGUCCCGCAACGAGCGCAACCCUUGUCAUUAGUUGCUACGAAAGGGCACUCUUAACAGAUCAAGCGGUGACAACCGGAGGAAGGUGGGGACAGGACGUCAAGUCCUCAUGGCCCUUAUGGGUAGGCUUCACGUCAUACAAUGGUCGGGGAUAGAGGGUCGCCAACCUGCGAGGGGGAGCGAUCCAGAAACCCGAUCAGUCCGAUCGCAGUCCGGGUAAAACUCGACUGCGUGAAGUCGGAAUCGCUAGUAACGCGUGAUCAGCAUGUCGCGGUGAAUACGUUCCCGGUCUUGUACACACCGCCCGUCACACCAUGGGAGUGGGUUUUAACAGAAGUAGUUAGCCUAACCGUGUAAGUGAGGGCGAUUACCACGGUAGGAUUCAUGACUGGGGUGAAGUCGUAACAAGGUAG
rnacentral:rRNA from 1 species